AGCAGCCGCGGUAAUUCCAGCUCCAAUAGCGUAUAUUAAAGUUGUUGCAGUUAAAAAGCUCGUAGUUGAAUUUCGGGGUUAGCAGGUCGGUCGUGCCAUCGGUAUGAACUGGUCUCGCUGAUCCCUCCCUCUUGACGAACUGUGAUGCCAUUAAUUUGGUGUCGCAGGGAAUCAGGACUGUUACUUUGAAAAAAUUAGAGUGUUUAAAGCAGGCUCACGCUUGAAUACAUUAGCAUGGAAUAAUGAAAUAGGACGUUUGAUCCUAUUUUGUUGGCUUCUAGGAUUGACGUAAUGAUUAAUAGGGAUAGUUGGGGGCAUUAGUAUUCAAUUGUCAGAGGUGAAAUUCUUGGAUUUAUUGAAGACUAACUACUGCGAAAGCAUUUGCCAAGGAUGUUUUCAUUAAUCAAGAACGAAAGUUAGGGGAUCGAAGACGAUCAGAUACCGUCGUAGUCUUAACCAUAAACUAUGCCGACUAGGGAUCG
rnacentral:rRNA from 1 species